rnacentral:rRNA from 1 species
AGCCGCCGCGGUAAUACGGAGGGUGCAAGCGUUAUCCGGAUUUAUUGGGGUUAAAGGGUCCGUAGGCGGAUGCGUAAGUCAGUGGUGAAAUCUCACAGCUCAACUGUGAAACUGCCAUUGAUACUGCGUGUCUUGAGUGAGGUUGAAGUAGCUGGAAUAAGUAGUGUAGCGGUGAAAUGCGUAGAUAUUACUUAGAACACCAAUUGCGAAGGCAGGUUACUAAGUCUCAACUGACGCUGAUGGACGAAAGCGUGGGGAGCGAACAGGAUUAGAUACCCUGGUAGUCCACGCUGUAAACGAUGCUAACUCGUUUUUGGGGAUUUAUCUUCAGGGACUAAGCGAAAGUGAUAAGUUAGCCACCUGGGGAGUACGAACGCAAGUUUGAAACUCAAAGGAAUUGACGGGGGCCCGCACAAGCGGUGGAUUAUGUGGUUUAAUUCGAUGAUACGCGAGGAACCUUACCAAGGCUUAAAUGGGAAUUGAUCGGUUUAGAAAUAGACCUUCCUUCGGGCAAUCUUCAAGGUGCUGCAUGGUUGUCGUCAGCUCGUGCCGUGAGGUGUUAGGUUAAGUCCUGCAACGAGCGCAACCCCUGUCACUAG